rnacentral:misc_RNA from 1 species
GGAGUUCAGUCUUCCCAGGCCCACCACUUUCAUCGAGUGAGCAUUCGUCUUCUGGUUACGGGGCCAUAGCUCAGCUGGGAGAGCGCGUGCUUUGCAAGCAUGAGGUCGUCGGUUCGAUCCCGUCUGGCUCCACCAGAUGGUUUGAUCGCCGAGAUCUUGCACCGUCGUCCGCGAAACAUCACUUCGCAUCCUGCUAGUCUGGAUAGACAGCAAGAUGCGUGUUUUCUGACAUCGUAAAGAGGAGAUCGAUCCGAGUUGGGUCGUGCAGCAGAUGUUGCGCGAAUCCUUCAUUAUCUCCGGAUCAUUUUCGGCGCUCGCUUUCAGCCGUGAGGUUGAAUGCGAGUUGUAAAAUGAUCCUUUUAGCGAAGCUUGACCGCCUCGCUAUCGGAACGAUCUUACGAAGCAAGCUGGUCUUUCUAGUCAAUGUCCGGCUGCAGAUAGCGUUCGUCGAGGGCGCGUGCCGCAAGGCAAUUCUGCAGACAACAUUCUGCCGAGUGUGUGGACAUUGAUAAUGAGAGCAAUCAAGUGCCUUAAGGGUGUUCGGUGGAUGCCUUGGCGCUGAGAGGCGAUGAAGGACGUGCUACGCUGCGAUAAGCCGUGGGGAGCUGCGAAGAAGCUUUGAUCCGCGGAUUUCCGAUGG